AACCAUAGAAACCUGCGGAGUACCUGCGGAAGGAUCAUUACAUGGCGGAGAAGGUGGGCACCUGGCCAAAAAAAACUCCAGGUUGUCAUGCCUUCACGCUCUUCCACCCUUGUCUAUUUGUACCUUUUGUCGUUCCCUCGGCGGGUUUCGACCCGCCGGCGGUAACCAUUGAAAACCCUUUUUGCAGUUUAGCAUCCAAUUCUUCUGAUCGAAUAUCAAAUCGUUACAACUUUUAACAAU
rnacentral:misc_RNA from 1 species